ACUCCUACGGGAGGCAGCAGUGGGAAUAUUGCACAAUGGGCGGAAGCCUGAUGCAGCGACGCCGCGUGAGGGAUGACGGCCUUCGGGUUGUAAACCUCUUUCAGCAGGGACGAAGCGCAAGUGACGGUACCUGCAGAAGAAGCGCCGGCCAACUACGUGCCAGCAGCCGCGGUAAU
rnacentral:rRNA from 1 species